UACGUAGGGUGCAAGCGUUAAUCGGAAUUACUGGGCGUAAAGCGUGCGCAGGCGGUUAUGCAAGACAGAUGUGAAAUCCCCGGGCUCAACCUGGGAACUGCAUUUGUGACUGCAUAGCUAGAGUACGGUAGAGGGGGAUGGAAUUCCGCGUGUAGCAGUGAAAUGCGUAGAUAUGCGGAGGAACACCGAUGGCGAAGGCAAUCCCAUGGACCUGUACUGACGCUCAUGCACGAAAGCGUGGGGAGCAAACAGG
rnacentral:rRNA from 1 species